CCCUGCCUGAAGCAGCUCGGUUCGCGGAUGAGUACACUGACGCCACAAGCAAGACACGUCUGUGGUCAAGUCAACUCCAUGACCGGAAUACCGACCCGUGGCACUCCCUCCACCUACCGCCUACCAAAAUCCAUCCAGGUAUGCCCAGCAAAACAACCAACAGCCACUAAAGUGUUACCGUUGUGACCAAGUCGGACAUAAGUUACCAGACUGCCCUUUGAAUUCUUCCCGGC